rnacentral:rRNA from 1 species
UGCCAGCAGCCGCGGUAAUACGGAGGGUGCAAACGUUGCUCGGAAUCACUGGGCGUAAAGGGUGCGUAGGCGGCCCUAUAAGUCAGGCGUGAAAGCCCUCGGCUCAACCGAGGAAUUGCGCUUGAAACUGUAGGGCUUGAGUUCGGUAGAGGGAAGCGGAAUUCCUGGUGUAGCGGUGAAAUGCAUAGAUAUUACACAGAACACCAAUUGCGAAGGCAGCUUACCAAACUAUUAUUGACGCUGAAGCACGAAAGCGUGGGUAGCGAACAGGAUUAGAUA